AGCAGAGGGAAUUAAAAUUACACCAACGC
rnacentral:piRNA from 1 species